CGGUGACCUCGGCCCCGCGCCAUGAGCUGUGUGCACGGCCGCCGGUACACCACCAGCCCCGCGGCCCCCGUCACCUCCUCCCGCCGCCGGGACCACCCCGUGGGCUCCUAGCCGCAGCAGGAGGGGGUCGACUCCUCCGACGCCGCCGCGGCGCCGGAGCAGCAGACGGACCAGAAGCCUGAGAAGCCGGCGCAGGUGAAGAGGAAGCGCCGGUCGCGGUCGUCGAGCUCCGCCGCCGCGGCGGCGCAAGCGGAGGUGCGCAUGGGCGGGAGCUUCGCCAACAAGGCGCGCGGCGAGCAGGUCGCCGCCGGCUGGCCCGCCUGGCUCUCCGCCGUCGCCGGCGAGGCCAUCAAUGGCUGGACCCCGCGCCGCGCCGACUCCUUCGAGAAGAUCGACAAGAUCGGCCAGGGCACGUACAGCAAUGUGUACAAGGCACGGGACUCGCUGAGUGGCAAGAUCGUGGCGCUCAAGAAGGUGCGCUUCGACAACUUGGAGCCGGAGAGCGGGCGCGCACUGCGGGGGUGCCCCCGGCCUUCGCCGUCUCCCUGAGGCCCGUGAGGAAGUGCCUGGCGGAGCCCGCGACGGCGGCGGCGUCGCAGCCGGGGUCCUCGAGGACCUGCUGCCCGCGCAGCGCCUCGGCGCAGAGGACGUCGCGCAGCAGGGCUGCCGCCACAGGCCGCGGGCGCGAUAUGGGCCGUGCCCGCCGGUACGGUCUGCGCAACGCGGAGCUGCCCCCCGAGGCCGCCAGCGUGCGGGAGCUCGCGGCGCAAAUCGCUGGCAUCCUCGGCGGUGGUUGCAAGGUGCGCCAGCAUCCUCUGCCCUCGCCGCCCCGCGCCAUGGCACGUAGGUCUGCGGGAUGGAAGGGAGCGCCGUAAGCGGCCUGCAGCGGGACCAAUGAAGUCGGCGCCGGCGCGGCGGCGGCGGCCUGGCCCUUCAUGCCGUACACGCCGGCGCAGUAGCGUGGGAGAGAUGGUGUUGACGGAGUGCCCUGCUUUGCUUCUCUUCCUCCUUGGCCAGAGCAACGAAGCUGAUAUUUGGUGUGCUAUGAGGGACAAGACAAUACAACCUGGGUAUGCUAUCUGAAUAGCAAAUGACGAUGUGGUGCCAGGACGUACUGCUGGACUAGAGCCAUCGAAACUAUCAGGGCUUGGCUUCGUGACUGAAUAUGAGUGCAUUCUGCUUCUUUGUUAUGAUUCUCUUUAGAAGCAUGGGUUCCAUUUUCUUAGCAUGUGAAUUAGACUCUGUUUAAUGGGAUUGCUUCAAAUGUGCUCAAUGGGCCUGCAUUUACAGACUUCAGUAGUGAGUAGUGACUGACCAAAUGCCAACUCGGUUUUAUUUGGAUGGUGAACAUAAUCAAACUACACUAGAUUGCAGAUUACUAUAUCUGCAUUUGCUUCAUUUCACUCCGGAAUACUUGUUUCAAAAACUUCUGAUGUGUAAAUACAUCCUGCCUGUUUUCAAGUUCCCAUUUUUAGGUCUCAUAAUGUUUGUGCUUAUUGCUACAUGCAUUGAUGUAGUAGUACAUGCUAAUAUUUAUGUUUAAAUAAAGUGGUAGACAUGUACUGAGUUUUUUCUAUAUUUAUCUUUACUCUUGAGUUAUAAAAAUAUUUCUUGAGUUUUAAAAAUAUUUCUUGUGUGGCACUUUGAUAUUCUUUGACCAUGUUUCAGAAAAUCCUGGCUAUUUCGUUUCUUUAUCAUCCCUAAAAAAUCAAUGUGCUUAGGCUCGGGUGCUGGUGGUACUAGGUUAAUUGAAUAAUAUGC